ACAUGCAAGUCGUACGAGGGUUUUUAACUCUAGUGGCGGACGGGUGAGUAACACGUGAGAAUUUGCCUUUAGGAGGGGGAUAACAAUCGGAAACGAAUGCUAAUACCCCAUAUGCUUUUGAGUGAAACGGAUUUAUCCGCCUAAAGAGAAGCUCGCGGCUGAUUAGCUUGUUGGUAAGGUAAGAGCUUACCAAGGCGACGAUCAGUAUCUGGUUUGAGAGGACGAUCAGACACACUGGAACUGAGACACGGUCCAGACUCCUACGGGAGGCAGCAGUGGGGAAUUUUCCGCAAUGGGCGAAAGCCUGACGGAGCAAUACCGCGUGAGGGAAGAAUGCCUAUGGGUUGUAAACCUCUUUUUUCAGGGAGGAAUAAAAUGACGUGUACCUGAAGAAUAAGCAUCGGCUAACUCCGUGCCAGCAGCCGCGGUAAGACGGAGGAUGCAAGUGUUAUCCGGAAUCACUGGGCGUAAAGCGUCUGUAGGUGGUUUAAUAAGUCAAC
rnacentral:rRNA from 1 species